rnacentral:lncRNA from 1 species
AAAGAACCACAGACCGGGGGAGAAGGAGGGCAGGGUCACGGAGCCCGGCAGGCAUCUCCGACCUCUUUGGGGGCCUCCUCCUCCCCUCCAGCAGUGCGGCCCGGGCCGGACAUCCCGAACUUCAGCACCCAAGCCUGGGCUGCCGCCAGUUACCAGGGGCAAGGACGUCCGCAGCGCCCAGGGCGCAGCCCCCCUGGCAGCCCCUUUGCCUAAAGGCCUGCCUACCAAUCAGCGUCCCCAUCCCCGCCGGAGGAAAAGCGGAAAGUGGAGAUGACACCUCCGAUCAGGCACGCACCGGCCCCGCGGCAGCGGCCGCCGCCUCCUCUGCGCGUCAGCUCAGGCUUCUCCCGCUGUGAUCCGCUCACGUCUCCGCAGCCGGAGCCCUUUAAACAAGUCCCUGGGAAGCGGGUGGCAGCAGCGUUCGUUGGCGCCCCGCCGCCAGCCUGGGCUCCUCGCCCUCCUUUCCCGUUCCCCUUCCAACUCUUCCGGGGAGGGUCGCUCGGGAUGAAUAGUAGCGUUUCCAUCCUCCUCCCCGGUCCCCCAGCCUUCCCCCUCUCCUGCUUGCCACCCCGCCUCGCUUUUAAGGGGAUUGGGGAGAUUGCCACCUGGCCGAAUGUGUGUGUUGCAACCUUGAGUUGGCAGCGCAUCUCUGACUACCUACUCAGGAUCAAGGCUGUGGUUUUUUGGGAUUUUCUUCCUCCUUUGCCCCCUUGAAGUAGUAAUUAUUACUGUAAUUAUUAGAACAGCAAGGUUCGGCUGAAACUUUCUCGUUUCUUCCACCGCCGCCUGGGAGCUGCCGUUAGAGCAUUCCACCUGAGGCCCGCGGGAAGGAGGCGGGCUUUUUUUUUUGUUGUGGCGGUUGGCCCGCCUGUUUGUUUUGGUCUCCGUGCAUGCACAAUAAAUAAUAAUUAGGAUAAUAAUGAAUAAUCCCGGGGAAGGCGGCGCGGAGCCGGAGGGGUUUGCGCGGCGGCUGCAGCGGGGCGGCCGAAGGGAGGGGAAAGAGGAGAAAAGAGUUGUAAGUUAUAUUUACCUUGCUCGCGAGGAGUGUGCUGGCUCAAUCUCUUCCCUCUCUGAGUCACCCAGAGUACAGAAACGGAGGGAGAGAGGACUAGAUUAUGAAUAUGACUUCAUUGAUGACAGCCGUCCCCUCCUCUUCCUAAACUCGGGCUCCGCCCCGCGUCCCACCCUCGCCUCCUGCACGGGCGCCGGAAGACGCGCGGCAGUUGGCCCCGCGCGCCGCUCCUCCCUGCCCGCCCGGGCGCGGGUUGGCGGGACGCGCCUGUCACUCGCCCAGCUCAGCGACUCCGGGAGCGCGGGGGAAAGAGGGGGCGGUGUGCAAGAAUGUGGAUCGAGACAGCUCUACUGUAUGCGUGGAUCCGUGUGUGUCUGCAAGGCGCCGGCUUUCGGGCCGUGUUUGUGCCUGGAGCAGAGAAACUGCACCGUGGUCUCUUCCCUCUCACCCCGCGUUUAA